ACGGGUGAGUAAUAUAUCGGAACGUACCCAAGAGUGGGGGAUAACGUAGCGAAAGUUACGCUAAUACCGCAUACGAUCUAAGGAUGAAAGCAGGGGAUCGCAAGACCUUGUGCUCCUGGAGCGGCCGAUAUCUGAUUAGCUAGUUGGUGGGGUAAAGGCCCACCAAGGCAACGAUCAGUAGCUGGUCUGAGAGGACGACCAGCCACACUGGAACUGAGACACGGUCCAGACUCCUACGGGAGGCAGCAGUGGGGAAUUUUGGACAAUGGGGGCAACCCUGAUCCAGCAAUGCCGCGUGAGUGAAGAAGGCCUUCGGGUUGUAAAGCUCUUUUGUCAGGGAAGAAAAGGCUGUGGCUAAUAUCUACAGCUGCUGACGGUACCUGAAGAAUAAGCACCGGCUAACUACGUGCCAGCAGCCGCGGUAAUACGUAGGGUGCAAGCGUUAAUCGGAAUUACUGGGCGUAAAGCGUGCGCAGGCGGUUUCGUAAGUCUGUCGUGAAAUCCCCGGGCUUAACCUGGGAAUGGCGAUGGAGACUGCGAGGCUAGAGUUUGGCAGAGGGGGGUAGAAUUCCACGUGUAGCAGUG
rnacentral:rRNA from 1 species